rnacentral:rRNA from 1 species
AUUGAACGCUGGCGGCGUGCCUAACACAUGCAAGUCGAGCGGUAACAGGUGUAGCAAUACAUGCUGACGAGCGGCGGACGGGUGAGUAACGCUUGGGAAUCUGCCUGUUAGUGGGGGACGAACCCGGGAAACGUACGGCGUAAUACCGCAUACGCACUACGGUGGAAAGACCGGGACCGCAAGGCCUGGCGCUAACAGAUGAGCCCAAGUCGGAUUAGCUAGUUGGUAGGGUAACGGCCACCAAGGCGACGAUCCGUAACCUGGUCUGAGAGGACGACCAGUCACACCGGAACCUGAGACACGGUCCGGACUCCUACGGGAGGCAGCAGUGGGGAAUAUUGGACAAUAGGGCGAAAGACCUGAUCCAGCGACGCCGCGUGGGUGAAGAAGGCCUGCGGGUUGU